AGACUGCGGCCGAGACGGGGAGGGGGAAGCCUCGCCUGGGGGGCGGCAGUGGCCUGGGCGGCUCUCCGGCUGCUGUUGUAUGGCUGCACGUUGGCGCUACCGGACGGGAUGCUGUAUCCCCGAGAGAGCCCGUCGUGGCAGCGCAAGCAGCUGGACGGCCUCUGAAGCUUCCGCGCCGACUUCUCCGACAACCGACGCCGGGGCUUCGAGGAGCAGAGGUACCGGCGACCGCUGUCGGAGGCGCGGACUCGGGGCAGGGCCAGGAGUCGCCCGGAAGCCCGGCGGUGGGAAUGGGUCAGGCCCCACCGUGGACAUGCCGGUUCCCUCCAGCUUCAACGACAUCGGCCAGGGCUGGCGGCUGCGGCAUUUUGUCAGCUGGUUGUGGUAUGAACGGGAGGUGACCCUGCUGGAGCGAUGGAUCCAGGACCUGUGCACAAGAGUGGUGCUGAGGAUUGGCAGUGCCCACUUCUAUGCCAUCGUGGUAUCCCAAGGGUUACUUUGUCCAGAACACAGACUUUGACUUCUUCAGCUACGCAGGACUGCUGUGGUCUCUGCUUCUAUACACGACACCCCCCACCUACAUCGAUGACGUCACCGUCACCACCGGCGUGAAGCGAGACAGUGGUGAGGGCUUCUGGACUGGAUGGAGGACCUGAAGACGUGAGGUGGAGGCACAGGUAGAAGAGAAGAUUCUCACCAUCGCUGAUUCACACAAAAGCAUUUCUCCAAGUGGUUGCAGAUGACAUGAUUUCCCAAAGUGUUAGAGCUGAAGUGUGUUUCCUUGUGUAUAUAUACUGUGGUUCCUUUAUCCCUUCAUCUGUGGAUAGACAGGUGCAACCGUGUGGUUCCCCACGAUAUGAUUUCAUUGUGGUUUUCUGUCUGAAGAGUAUCCCAGUAUGUACCUGUGGAGCAGCUUCUUUAUCCCUUCAUCUGUGGAUAAGCAGGUCAUGUCCUCCAGGUUUCUGCACGUUGCUGCAGAUGACAUGAUUUCAUGAAUUUCUGCGGCCGAAGAGGAUUCCACUGCGUGCUGCAGUUUCUUUAUCCCUUUAUCUGUGCAUGAACAGUGCAGGCCAAGGCCCCCUGCCCAUGGAGGUGUGCUGCAGACAGCAGCAGCAGCAGCAGCAGCAGCAGCAGCAGCAGCAGAGGCCUGGCUUCCUGAGGAAUUGCUGGCCGGUUUGAGGAAGGAAGGAAGUCCCACCUACCAUGAUCACCCUCCAGCCUGGAGGAAGCUCCAUGCCAGCAGCAUGGACCAGCAUGGGAGCCAGAGCCCUGCUAAUGCUGCAGCUCAUCACCCCUGCUCAGCAGCCCAGCAGCCCAGCAGCCAUUGCCACAUCCCAUUUCCAGGGCCUCCUGCCCCCAUGCCCCCACGUGCCCAUGGACCGACACACCACUCUUCCUGUUGGCCCAAGGUAGGCAUGGAGGGAAUUUUUCAAGUCCACUUUUAGUAGGUAAGUCAAAACCAAACAAAAUAACCACUCGACACCUGGUCCAAUGCCCUUCCAAACUCACUCUUUUCUCUGACCCUUAAACACUUGUCCUGCAUCUCCCAGACUCCACUGUACCUUGAUCAGUAGGUCCCUCUUCACUGCAGUGUCUUUUUUGCAGAGUUCUUUUAGCUCUUUCAUGCUUUUGCUAUGGGCAGAGGAAAGAAAGAAGGGUAAAUUUGGGAAUCAGGGGAGAUUUGUGAGUUCCAGUCCCUUUUGUUUGAAAACCCAGUGAAUCCCAGCUUACUGGGUGAGAGUUUUCAGUGGAGUCCUCUGAUCACAGGGGCUCCAGAGGACCAGGGUGGGACCUCUCAUGCUCCUCCCCUGGGCCCCAUCUCCACUUCACAUGAGCCACUGCGUGUUUACAGUUAGCUUUCAGCUGGACACAGAGUUCCACUGCUGGGUACAAACACCUGAAAGCCUCCAGUUGGCUCCAGUCUGUUCCUGAUGGUUAAAAAACCUUAGUCCUGAGUUGGAAAUCCUUGCCUAGGAGUCCAGGGCAGCUUAGUGACCACAGCCACCGGCCCAUCCCUGCCUCCAGUGUCCCUGGACUCCAAGAACCUUUCAGAGUCAUUGAGGGCACAUGGGGGGAGACCUGUGAGUCCCUAGGUCAACCCUGAUGCUGCCAUGGAGAGAGCCCUCCUCACCUGGACACUCCUGCCCACGUCUUGUGUAGCUGACCUAUUGGGUUGCUGCACAGAGCAGAGACGAUGACGUGCACCGAGGAGAAGUUGUUGAGGCUUAGGCACUCCUGGAGAGGGAAGAAUGAGCUGUGCGGUUCAGAGUUGGAGCUUGGCCCACUACAGCCUCAGCCCCCUCUGCUGAGAUCUCCCCUCCUGGAUGAAGCAGAGGCCUGGGGAGCCUCAGGAGGGCAGACCUGGGGCCGAGUGGAUGUCACUCAUCUAGGAGGAUUUUAGUUCAACCCAAGGAAGACCCCAGGUCGGAAGUGAGCAGCCACCACUGGGCCGUGGGAGUCAAGUCUGGAGAAACAGCUACGGCCAUCCCAGCCCUGGCCAAGGGGAAAAUGCCGGAAGACUCCAGGGUGGGAGGAAGCGCGUCCCAAGGCCCAGGAUCUGCGAGGCGACUUGGGGAAAACGCAGGACCUGCUGAAGCUCACACCCGUGGACCACCCAGACUGCCUGCCGCUACAGGAUGCCCUCCGCAUCUCCCAGGACUUCUUUCCGGCAUCAGUGUGGACAUUGACCCCACUGGACUGCAGUCACAGUGGACUCCCAAGGGGCAGGAUCCACCUCUGAUGUUCAGUGAAGACUACCAGAAAAGUCUGCUAGAGCAGUACCAUCUGGGUCUGGAUCAAAAACUCAGAAAAUACGUGGUUGGAGAGCUCAUCUGGAAUUUUGCCGAUUUCAUGACUAACCAGUGUGGUUGAGGAGUGGGCCCAGGGCACCUUCAAACUCAACCCCAAUGAUGAGGACAUCCACACAGCCAACAAGUGCCACCUGAAGGUGGUCACGGACCUCAGGUUGUGGAUGUGGCAGACCUGCUUCACGCUCUCGGGCCUCCUCUGGGAGCUCAUCAGGACUAUGGGGGAUUGGGCAGAGGUGUUCCUGCUCCAGCGUGGCUCCUGGACUGGCGCCAGAUGCUGGCCCUGGGGGUUUCAAUCCAAGCAUAAUUCAGUGAAGCAUGUGUUUGGCAGUGGGACCCAGCUCACUGUUUUAGGUCAGCCCAAGACUACCCCGUCGGUCAUUCUGUUCCUGCCGUCCUGUGAGGAGCCCCAAGCCAACAAGGCCACACUGGUGUGUCUCAUGAAUAACUUUAUCCGGGAAUCUUGAUGGUGACCUGGAAGGCAGAUGGUACCCUCAUCACCCAGAGCGUGGAGAAGACCACGCCCUCCAAACAGAGCAACAACAAAUGGAGUCUCACUCUGUCGCCCAGGCUGGAGUGCAAUGGCUCGAUCUUGGCUCACCGUAACCUCUGUCUCCCAGGUUCAACCAAUUCUCCUGCCUCAGCCUCCUGAGUAGCCGGGAUUACAGGCAGCAACUGGAAACAACCCAAGUGUCCGUCAGCUAGAGAAUGGAUAGACCCAUGUGGUCUGUGCAUACAGUGGAGUACUGCUCAGUUACACAAGGAAAAGAAACUAUGGAUACAGGUCACAGGAGGGAUGAUCUUCAAAACAUUACAACAGUUGCACCUUUGUCACCCAGGCUGGAGUGCAAUGGUGUGAUCUUGGCUCACUGUGCAACCUCCGCCUCCUGGAUUCAAGCGAUUCUCCUGCCUCAGCCUCCUGAGUAGCUAGGAUUGCAGGGGGAAGGACGCACCCUGUUAUGAAUCUGAUACUGAUAUUUAUGAGACUGUGGCUGCUGCAACAUCAGAAUCCACUACUGUAGAGCCUGGCAAGCUGGAUGUGGGAGCCACGGAGGGCCAAGACCUGCAGCACAUCAGCAACCAAAAGAUGCCCACAGGUCCCCCUGAGGACCGCCUGAGUUUAAAAUUUCUGCCAUCAAGUGAGGAAGACAAUGAUGAUGCCAAGAUUUUACCAUCACCUGUCCAGGAUGAUUUUUCUGAGAACACCUGCUCUUUUCUGCCUGUGCCACUGCAAAAUCUCAGAGCCUGUGGUUUGGGACACAGUUCUGUCACAAGCAGUUACUCACUCCUGGAGACAGAAUUCUUCUGCGGUGUGCCAGAUGCAUAGGAGAAAUGGAUCCUCACCUUAUGAACUGUUAGGUUUCAUGGCAGCACAUUCAUUUGUCUGUGCUUGCUGUUUACCUCUGGUAUCAAGACAUCUCCCUGAGUGUGGAGGACAGAAUGAAAAUUCACUCUGGGCUCACUGCAAAAGGUCCAGUGUCUUGGAAAUGGAGGGAGAAGCACAACCUUGAGCACACUGUCAGCAUUCUGUUGAGAGAGAAGCACAACCUUGAGCACACUGUCAGCAUUCUGUUGAGAAUAUGCAGUUUUACCAUCAUUUGUGGAAGAGACUUUCCUUUCCUCAUUGUGUAUUCUUGGUACCUUCAUUGAAGAUCAGCUGACUCUGUUCUUCUGAGGACAACCUGAGUUUAGUAUGCCUACCACGAAGUGAAGAUGAUGACUGUGAUGAUGAUGAUGAUGAUGCCCAGAUUUUACCGUCACCUGUCCAGGCUUGUUCUGAAGAUAGCCUGUUUUUAAGAUGCUCACUGAGACACAAAGAUGAAGAAGAAGAAGAUGAUGAUGACAUCCACAUAACAGCUCGGAUAGAAAGUGACUUGACGCUGGAGAGUCUAAGUGAUGAAGAGAUUCAUCCAGCAUCCCACAACCAUGGCUGGCAGAUGCCAAGGGGAUGUGUGAGAUGGCCCAGCUCCAGGAUGAAACUCAACUUUAGGGAAGCUGGGGAGAGCCUCACAGCGCUGGACAAGCCAUCAGAUGGCACUGCCCCCAGGGACACACCCGGGGGCGUGGACAGGGAUAUGGAGGACCUAAGGCAAAGGGUGGCUUCAAACGUGACAGCAGAUCAGCCGCUGGGGAAAUACCAGAGGGGAUUUGACAGCUGGGCCAGGUGUUCCAGGACAGCACUUUCCAAAAGAUUUUCCAUCCAAACUUCCAGCAAGAAGUAGAUCUUCCAUCGUUAUCCAGAGCAUAUCUACGCAUUCAGAUGAAGAAAACAACACUGACAUGCAUUAUCUCCCAACACCAACCUCAACCCAGCCCUGGAGUGUGAGCAGAGCCAGCAGCAUUUCCAGCCCCGCCUCUGGAGGAAGGAGAGGAACCUGAGACUCUUGGGUGACCUGAGGCGUCUCUGGCAGCACCAGCAAAAGAGCCUGGCCCUGGCCGCCCAGCACAGGUGCUCAGUCCCUCCUGACUGCCACUGCUCCCUCAACACCAAAGCACAGGGUCGCGAGAUGUUGGGAGAGGGUCGGGGAUGCUGGGCUGGGAGAGGACCGGGGGCCUGUCAGAAGCCAUGACAUGAUGCACUCACCGCUCAGGAGGAAGCUACUGGCCUUUGAGUGAAAUCUAUAAGAAUGAACUCUGGAGAUGUAUCGUACAACAUGGAGUCUACAGUUAAAAACUGUAUUGUAUACUGGAAAAUUGCUAAGAUUAGAUCUUCCAUGUUCUCACUACAAAAGCAUAAGUAUGUGAGAUGACGGACGUGUGUGUCAGCUUGAUUUAAUCAUUUUGCAGUGUGGCAAAGCAUCGCACUGUAGGUGGUAAAUAUAUAUACAGUUUUGUCAAUUAUACCUUCAGGAAGCUGGGGUGGUUGGUGUGUGUGUGUGUGUCUGUGUGAUGUGAGGUCAGUGAGGUGCUGAACAUGGUGCAUUAAACAGCAUUUUCAUUCUUAUCUCAUGAUUCCUGGACUUGAACCGUUGAGUGGCUUCUGGCUAAACCCAAACCUGUUUCCUGCUCUCUAACCACACCUCCCUCUAGGACCGGUUGGAGGAGCCUCAGCCCAGGCCCCUGAGCUCAAGCCCUGGGGGACUCCUGCUGGGCAGCUCUCUGGACCCCAGUGAGAUGCUCCACAGACCCAGGGCGCCCUCGGGGAAGUGGGGAAGGAGGGAAGUCAGGUGCAUCACCUCUUGGGACCAGCCCCGAGGGGACUCAAGCCCAUCCAGGGCGCAGGUGCCUCCAAAGGAAAGCCCCAAGGGAGGGUCUUGGGGGGCCAUGGCGCAUCCCACCUCCCUGUGUGACCUCAGCUCUUGCUGACCCUCUGCCUGUGGUGGGAGGUCCCCAAACAAAGCACCCAGGGCCCCAGGGGCAAGGCCAAGCUGACAGGUGUGGGAGGCAGUUGAGCCCUGGAUCCUGACCACAGCAGGGCAGUUGGCAGAUGUGCCUCUGGGACAGAACCCCAGGGGUAACGGUCAUGGACUCUGGAAGGGGCCUGGCUGGGGGCAGGGACCAGAGGAUGAGGAUGGGGCCACAUGGACUGGGGUGCAAUGGGACAGCUGCUGCCAGCGAGAGGGACCAGGGCACCACUCUCUAGGGAGCCCACACUGCAAGUCAGGCCACAAGGACCUCUGACCCUGAGGGCCGAUGAGGCCAGGGACAGGCCAGGGGGGCCUUGAGGCCCCUGGUGAGCCAGGCCCCAACCUCAGGCAGCGCUGGCCCCUGCUGCUGCUGGGUCUGGCCGUGGUAACCCAUGGCCUGCUGCGCCCAACAGCUGCAUCGCAGAGCAGGGCCCUGGGCCCUGGAGCCCCUGGAGGAAGCAGCCGGUCCAGCCUGAGGAGCCGGUGGGGCAGGUUCCUGCUCCAGCGCGGCUCCUGGACUGGCCCCAGGUGCUGGCCCCGGGGGUUUCAAUCCAAGCAUAACUCAGUGACGCAUGUGUUUGGCAGCGGGACCCAGCUCACCGUUUUAAGUCAGCCCAAGGCCACCCCCUCGGUCACUCUGUUCCCGCCGUCCUCUGAGGAGCUCCAAGCCAACAAGGCUACACUGGUGUGUCUCAUGAAUGACUUUUAUCCGGGAAUCUUGACGGUGACCUGGAAGGCAGAUGGUACCCCCAUCACCCAGGGCGUGGAGAUGACCACGCCCUCCAAACAGAGCAACAACAAGUACGCGGCCAGCAGCUACCUGAGCCUGACGCCCGAGCAGUGGAGGUCCCGCAGAAGCUACAGCUGCCAGGUCAUGCACGAAGGGAGCACCGUGGAGAAGACGGUGGCCCCUGCAGAAUGUUCAUAGGUUCCCAGCCCCGACCCCACCCAAAGGGGCCUGGAGCUGCAGGAUCCCAGGGGAAGGGUCUCUCUCUGCAUCCCAAGCCAUCCAGCCCUUCUCCCUGUACCCAGUAAACCCUAAAUAAAUACCCUCUUUGUCAACCAGAAAUC
rnacentral:lncRNA from 1 species